AGCGAACGCUGGCGGCAGGCUUAACACAUGCAAGUCGAGCGGACGUAGCAAUACGUCAGCGGCAGACGGGUGAGUAACGCGUGGGAACGUACCUUUUGGUUCGGAACAACCCAGGGAAACUUGGGCUAAUACCGGAUAAGCCCUUACGGGAAAGGAUUUAUCGCCGAAAGAUCGGCCCGCGUCUGAUUAGCUAGUUGGUGAGGUAACGGCUCACCAAGGCGACGAUCAGUAGCUGGUCUGAGAGGAUGAUCAGCCACAUUGGGACUGAGACACGGCCCAAACUCCUACGGGAGGCAGCAGUGGGGAAGUAUUGGUACAAUGGGCGGCAAGCCUGAUCCAGCCAUGCCGCGUGAGUGAUGAAGGCCCUAGGGUUGUAAAGCUCUUUUGUGCGGGAAGAUAAUGACGGUACCGCAAGAAUAANCCCCGGCUAACUUCGUGCCAGCAGCCGCCGUAAC
rnacentral:rRNA from 1 species